GUAAUUAUAGUUUAGUAAAAACAUUAGAUUGUGGUUCUAAAAACAAAAGUUAAAAUCUUUUUAAUCACC
rnacentral:tRNA from 1 species